rnacentral:rRNA from 1 species
GAUUAACGCUGGCGGCGUGCAUAACACAUGCAAGUCGAACGAAGUGGCGGACGGGUGAGUAACGCGUGAGUAACCUGCCUUAGAGAAGUGGAUAGCCUUUGGAAACGAAGAAUAAUACCCUAUGCUCUAAGAUGGAGUUGCGUCUGAUUAGCUAGUUGGUGAGAUAAUAGCUCACCAAGGCCACGCUCAGUAGCCGGGUUGAGGACGUGUACGGCCACAUUGGGACUGAGACACGGCCCAGACUCUACUGGAGGCAGCAGUGGGGAAUUUUGCACAAUGGGGGAAAGCCUGAGGCAGCGACGCCGCGUGAUUUAGAAGGCCUUCGGGUUGUAAAAAGCUUUUAUAUGGGAAGCAGUACCAUAGGAAUAAGGACCGGCUAAUUACGUGCCAGCAGCCGCGGUAAUUC